CCAUUUUGUUGCUGACUGGGUCCAUACAGGAUUAUUUACGUAUGCUUGAAACUUCAAAAGUCUACCUGAUGUGUCUAGGGUUCGCUGGUUUGGGUCCCGGCUGCGGACAUGGCACCGCUUGGCACACCAUGCUGUGACUGUUCAUUGCUAGUAUAUAGAAAUGCAACUGAGGGGGCCAGUCCCAUGGCCGAGUGGUUAAAUCCCUGUGAUCUGCUUCGGCAGCCCAGGGUUUCACCAGUUCAGAUCCUGGGGAUGGACAUGGCACCGCUCAUCAAGCCAUGCUAGCGCAGCGUCCCACAUAGCACAAACAGAAGGACCUACAACUAGAAUAUACA
rnacentral:lncRNA from 1 species